UGGGGAAUAUUGCGCAAUGGGGGGAACCCUGACGCAGCAACGCCGCGUGAAGGAAGAAGGUCUUCGGAUCGUAAACUUUUGUCUUUAGGGAAGAUAAUGACAGUACCUAAGGAGGAAGCCACGGCUAACUACGUGCCAGCAGCCGCGGUAAUACGUAGGUGGCAAGCGUUGUCCGGAUUUACUGGGUGUAAAGGGUGCGUAGACGGGCACUUAAGUCAGGUGUGAAAUACCGGAGCUCAACUCCGGGGCUGCACUUGAAACUGGGAGUCUUGAGUGUCGGAGAGGAAAGCGGAAUUCCUAGUGUAGCGGUGAAAUGCGUAGAUAUUAGGAGGAACACCAGUGGCGAAGGCGGCUUUCUGGACGAUAACUGACGUUGAGGCACGAAAGCGUGGGGAGCAAACAGG
rnacentral:rRNA from 1 species